GGUGCCAUACGAGGGCUGAACUGACAGCAUGAUGGUCUCGUUUCCGAGAUGACAGAGACAGGAAAUGACCUCGUUCUUGAUGGCUGCUGCUAAUUUAUGGCGAAACGCUAGGUCCCCGGCCAAUACCACAUGGACAUCCAAUCAAUUUACCCAGGGGCAAGUCCACUCAAGGGCAUCAUUUAGAAGAGAGAAGCGUUCGGGUUACUUGUCACUGGAGUAUAUGUUUAAGAAAAUCUCGCGGUACACUUGUGGGAGAAUUGGAAAGCUGAAGGGAAUGGAAGCCAUGCUUCGGCCACUUCUGCGGGUUCUGUUGCAAAGUGCUGCUGUGAGGUGCCGAGCUCGUCAGGAGGCAUCCCCGUGUCCUAUGACCAGCCUCCCUUGUCAAGUUAAGGGCGUAGGCAUCCAUUUUGGGUCAGUGCAGAUCUAGCAGGAACAGAAUGGAUCCAGUCGUUGCAGUGGCUGUGGCUUGCUGAUUCUGGAUUGUACUAUGGCAGCGUGGCCUCCAACGGAGAGUUCUCUGGUGACUUUCUCAUCUUCUGCCUCUCUCCCUGGGACGGAGGAAGCAGCUUCUUUGGCGUCCUGUUCUGUGGUGCUACUCUGGGGUCUUUCUUGGAACCCUGGCCUAAAACUUGCUCCUCUAAUGGCCAACAAUUCUAGAAGCACCCACCCCCCGGCCCUGUGUUAAGUCCCUUCUGCUACAAAUAACUAGAGUUGUUUCUGGGUUUCUGACAGGGGGACUAAAACUGUGUCUGUAAUGUUUUAUUUCCUUAAAAAACAACAACAACAACAACAACAACAACAAAACCUCUGAAGGAUGUGUGGCUCUUUGUUAACAUUUUUUUAAAAAUCUAGGGAGUGGGAACGUGGAUGUUUGUUAUUUGUUGUAGCUUUGAGAUGGUUUUCUAUUCUAAAUUUUCAAAACUGCUUUGAUUUCAAAAUCAAUGUCUAUCUGCCCAGUUUUUAUGGAUUAUUGCAAACACUUACAUUUUUACCCAAAAGAGUAAUAAAAAAUUUUGAAAGUCUUAUGCAACGGGACUUAAAAUAAAAUUACACAGAAUCCCAAGUGUACUAUAUUUCUGAAGUGUGAAUGUUUGAGGAAAUUAUUUUUAUUUUAGAUUUUUACUAAUACAUAGAAAAAAAAUCCUUAUAAAAUAUGCCCUCAUCUAACGGGGACCCAGGUCCACAUCCUUUUUGCAUUAAAUCCCUUUAUACUGAAAGUUGCUUGGUUGUAAUAGAAGGCAAUUGCUCAUUAGAUUAAAAAAAAUGUUAAAGCUUUGGUAAUGUUAAAAAACUUCCCUGUAAAAACAAUAUCAUGGAUAUUAAUGACAGAGUAAAGUUUCUAUGUCAAGGUUCACUUUCAAAUUUAUCACUGAGGACUAGCUUCUUUAUCCAAACUUAUUUUUCAUUAUCCUAAAAUGAUAAAAUAAAUCCAAGGAGACCACAGCAGGCUUAAAUUGAUGUUACAAAAGCAAUUCCUCUGUACUAACUUCUCAAUUCUUCUGUAAAUCUAAAACUAUUUUGAAAUAAAUGUUUAUUUAAAAAAUUACUAUUGCCUCCCCUAUCCAGUGCCAGUGGACAUGUUUCAUAAGGAUGCUUAAGUUGUGUUUGUUUUCUUGGACUUGUAGAUAUUUCUUAUGCAAGAGUACUUUUCUGGUUGUAAAAUCACAUUGUCUUGAUUUCGUUAUUUAAACUCUGUGCCAUUUUUUUAAAGUUUAUUUAUGUAUUUCAGUAAACUCUACACCCAACUUGGGGCUUGAAGUCACAACCCUAAAAUCAAGAGUCACAUGAUCCUCCGAUGGAACCAGCCAGGUACACCAAACUCUGCGUAAUUUUAUUCUUAAAAAAUAAGGGCUCUGUCAGGAAAGCAAAUCUGA